rnacentral:tRNA from 1 species
GCCCGGUUAGCUCAGUAGGUAGAGCGUUGGUCUACGGAUCUCGGGGUCGUGAGUUCGAUCCUCGCGCUGGGCG